rnacentral:rRNA from 1 species
GAUGAACGCUGGCGGCGUGCCUAAUACAUGCCAGUCGAGCGAACAGAUGAGGAGCUUGCUCCUCUGACGUUAGCGGCGGACGGGUGAGUAACACGUGGAUAACCUACCUAUAAGACUGGGAUAACUUCGGGAAACCGGAGCUAAUACCGGAUAAUAUAUUGAACCGCAUGGUUCAAUAGUGAAAGACGGUUUUGCUGUCACUUAUAGAUGGAUCCGCGCCGCAUUAGCUAGUUGGUAAGGUAACGGCUUACCAAGGCAACGAUGCGUAGCCGACCUGAGAGGGUGAUCGGCCACACUGGAACUGAGACACGGUCCAGACUCCUACGGGAGGCAGCAGUAGGGAAUCUUCCGCAAUGGGCGAAAGCCUGACGGAGCAGCGCCGCGUGAGUGAUGAAGGUCUUCGGAUCGUAAAACUCUGUUAUUAGGGAAGAACAAAUGUGUAAGUAACUAUGCACGUCUUGACGGUACCUAAUCAGAAAGCCACGGCUAACUACGUG